AUGAGAUCAAGACCUAAGCCAAAGUCAGAUGCUUAACCGACUGAGCCAUCCAGGUGGUCCCUAUUACAUACAUCAUUACAUGGAAACCUCAUGAUGACCCUGUGAGGCCCCCAUUUUACGGAUGAGCAAAUUGAGGAAAAAAUAGGUAAAACAAUCUGCAAGGCUCCACAGCUCUGAGCCAGACCUGUCAGACUGAAAUGUGCCUGAGAAAUCAGAGAGGCUUCACGGAGGAGGCCGCCUUUUAAUUGAGACUUGGAAGGUCCUAAUCUUUAUUGAAUGAAGUCUUCCAUUGAAGAGAGAAGAAAUCUUUUCUAUUGGAAACAGAGCCAGGACUGGAAUAAAGAGCCUAAGAGGGUGUGGAAAUUUUGGGUUUGCACGUCUUCACACACCCAAGCAACCUCCUGAAGCCACCAAGAACCAGCAAGGACUGGUCUGCCCAGGUGGGACCUCUCUGCGUCAGUAAACUGUAUCUCUCGGUGGUCCUAUUCUCUUGAAUGGGUCAAACAAAAGGCAUUUCACCCCGGGUGUGCAUAAUGAAGUUGGAGAGCAUCACCCACUUGGUCGAACAUUUAGUCUCCAGUGAAACUAGCCAUUGGUAUAUUAGCAAAGCACAACAACGUCUGAUUUGUCAUGUAGCUCUACUGACCACAGUGACAGUCUCGGCAGUGGGUGUGAACUUGGGUCCAUAGACCCCCCAAGAGCUCCAUGGACAGAAUUCAGGAAGAACACGGACUUGGACAGGGGAAAAUCACAUCUGGGUUUUCACUAUCUUCUAUCUGAAAGUUAGUGUCACUUCAGUUAUGAAUGAAGGCAAUAAACCACGCAUUACUAGCAAUUCCUGCAGCUUUGUCUCCAAUAAAAAUCAUGGAUAUUUUGGUACCAUA